ACAUACACCUCCAGACUGGCCAUCUAGCUGGUACUCAUGGUUCCUGUAAGUAGUUAAGGGUUGUUUGGAUUCACCGGGAUUCUUCCAGGAUUCUGUGGUGGAAGUGCACGUUAUUCCGCUUAAAUAAAGUCUCUGAUUCAAGCAUAAGUUACAGGCAAGACCCGGUCUAGAGUCGGGAUGUCCCCGGAUCAUCAUUGAAAGACCUUCAGGCGUCCACAGUUUGCUGGGAUGUUCGCCAAGAUCCGUUCAUCAAAAUAAAGCAAACAUCCCAAAGCCUCAAUAACUCCAAAUGGGCUACGACCAUCACGUUCAUAGAGGGUUGAUACAAUAUAUAGAGAUUUUGCUAUUGUUGUAGAAUACUGUCUCUAAAUGACUCUUAAAGUUACGGCAGAGUCAAUGAAGCAGACUGUCAUACGCUACAGCCUCUCCUGGCAGCCUCCAAAUGCAUUAUUCACUGUGUUUACUAUGACUCCACCUAAUGGAGUGGCUCCAACUCAGCAAACUUGUCUUGGAACAACCGAGCAGCUGUCGCACUUAAACAGAAAGUGAUGCGAGAAGAGAGAUCGACGUGAUUUCACACUUGUUUGCCAUUGUUUCAUUGGAUAUAGCAAAGAAAAGCAUAUUUUGUCUGAGUGGUCCAUCAGACUUAGAUGAGGGAGACACAGUGGUCCGUUUAUGUCUCCGUUAGGACUGUGCAGAGAUUUACUGCUAGAGCCAAGAUGGAUGACAGGGCUGAUACGUCACCGCCCGCUUCUGCUGCCUGAGCUCCAGAGGCGGGGCAGCAGCCAGGGAGACGACCAGCCAGAGAGCAAGGGUACUGGGGUUUCCAGAAACCGUCUCUCCCUGUCCACCCUCUUCUCGUGCCCCUUCUCUUUCUGCCAGAUUUAGCAGACAUUGUUCUGGGUUAACUUAAAAGGAGGUUGCAUGUGGUACUUGAGCAUGUGGUUUGCUGUUGAGCAAGGGCCAUUUCAUCAGAGGUAUUCGCAGGAGAGUCUAAAUAGGAGAGCGAGGAAGGCUGGAACCUGGUGUCAGUGGUUGCCUUGGCAGCGCUUGUAGUCCUGAUUGUCCCCAGCCUGUCUAGGGUGUUUACCUGAGGACCACACCGACAAAGUCUCUGCAAUGGGAAUGAUCGUUCUGGUGGCCCCUGGCAACACUGGCAAAGCCAUGACCCUAUCCCAUGAUGCCCCUGUCAAGGCUCCUACUCGCUUCAUCAUCCUAGGAGGACAGACAUUUUCAGCACAAAAUACACCACAACAAGGAAUUAGCCUGAAACAUUACUCAAGGAAUAAUGCAUACUAUGUGCCUGCCACUUAAGGUUGCAAGAUUCCGGUAACUUCCCCAAAAUGUACAGGUCUUCCAAAAAUUCUGGGCAGAGGAUUCUGGAUUUUUAUCUGCUGAUCUCUUUAAAGUCCUUUAUUUGUUUCCCUCUCUGCUAAUCUCCCCUUCACUUCUCUAAUAAACAUCUCCACAAGAAUAUUGGACCAGCUUAAUAUGAGGGAGAUGUGGUUAGCUGUUUGUGGCAGGUAUUGAGGCAUUGGUUACAGUGAAUAAACAUAAUUCAUCGAACAUGUCUGAGCAUUUGUCAAUUAGUUUAUUGAUUGACAAACUGUAAAGGCUCACUAUAGGAAAGGUCAUGCCUUAUUCUUUCCUUUGAUGAAUGGCUGAGUGCUUGCCCUUAUUGUGACGCUGAUGACACUCAAACUUAAAUGGUGUGGAUAUUGAGAAGGUACAUGUUAUUCAGGAAGUAAACGCAAUCACAUGUUUUACUGUUUCUAAUGGGCAUGUGAUCUUUCCACAGAUCUUUCUCCUCAUUUUCAGUCAAUUACCAUUACAAUUGUCUCUGCUACACCAGUCUCUCUACCAUUCACAAUUUACACAUUUCCUUCUGUUUUGUGGCAUGCUCUGUGUAGGUCUAAAAAUACCAAACUGUUAUAAAGGAUUUAAAAAAAUGAAAUGAUAAAUACUGUAUGAGCGUGUGAAGGAGG
ensembl:lncRNA